CGCCUACGGGACGCAGCAGUGGGGAAUAUUGCACAAUGGGGGAAACCCUGAUGCAGCGACGCCGCGUGAAGGAUGAAGUAUUUCGGUAUGUAAACUUCUAUCAGCAGGGAAGAAAAUGACGGUACCUGACUAAGAAGCCCCGGCUAACUACGUGCCAGCAGCCGCGGUAAUACGUAGGGGGCAAGCGUUGUCCGGAAUUACUGGGGGUAAAGGGAGCGCAGGCGGGAAGCCAAGUCAGCUGUGAAAACUACGGGCUUAACUUGUAGACUGCAGUUGAAACUGGCUUUCUUGAGUGAAGUAGAGGG
rnacentral:rRNA from 1 species